rnacentral:tRNA from 1 species
GGGGUUGUGGCUCAAUGGUAGAGCACUCGCCUGGCACGUGUGAGGCCCUGGGUUCAAUCCUCAGCACCA